CUUGGAUGCAUUAGGGACUCUGAACGACAUCGGAGGAACCAAUGAAACACUGACACAACGGGUGACUUGGAUGCAUUAGACCGGUUUGAUGGCUGGAAAGGACAUUUUCCCAUCGUUAAAGGAUAAAAGGGUCCGGUUAGCCCUGACCAUUAUCCGCUUCGAAUUCACCAACUCAAAGACGCUUGCCCGCUCCAUCAUAACUCUGACCUGAGCCCUAGGACCAUGUCCCAGGACUACCUGACAUGAGGACUCCUUGCUGUCCCCAGUCCACCUGGCCAUGCUCCUGCUCCAGUUUCAACUGACCUGAGCCCUAGGACCGUGCCCCAGGACUACCUGACAUGAAGGCUCCUUGCUGUCCCCAGUCCACCUGACUGUGCUGCUGCUCCAGUUUCAACUGUUCUGCCUUAUUAUUAUUCGACCAUGCUGGUCAUUUAUGAACAUUUGAACAUCUUGGUCAUGUUCUGUUAUAAUCUCUACCCGGCACAGCCAGAAGAGGACUGGCCACCCCACAUAGCCCGGUUCCUCUCUAGGUUUCUUCCUAGGUUUUGGCCUUUCUAGGGAGUUUUUCCUAGCCACCGUGCUUUUACACCUGCAUUGUUUGCUGUUUGGGGUUUUAGGCUGGGUUUCUGUACAGCACUUUGAGAUAUCAGCUGAUGUACGAAGGGCUAUAUAAAUAAAUUUGAUUUGAUUUGA